AGAGCGAACGCUGGCGGCAGGCCUAAUACAUGCAAGUCGAACGGACCCUUCGGGGUUAGUGGCGGACGGGUGAGUAACACGUGGGAACGUGCCUUUUGGUUCAGAACAACUCAGGGAAACUUGAGCUAAUACUGAAUAAGCCCUACGGGGGAAAGAUUUAUCGCCAUUAGAGCGGCCCGCGUUGGAUUAGCUAGUUGGUGAGGUAAAGGCUCACCAAGGCUACGAUCCAUAGCUGGUCUGAGAGGAUGAUCAGCCACACUGGGACUGAGACACGGCCCAGACUCCUACGGGAGGCAGCAGUUAGGAAUCUUGCGCAAUGGGCGAAAGCCUGACGCAGCCAUGCCGCGUGAAUGAUGAAGGUCUUAGGAUUGUAAAAUUCUUUCAGCGGGGAAGAUAAUGACUGUACCCGCAGAAGAAGCUCCGGCUAACUUCGUGCCAGCAGCCGC
rnacentral:rRNA from 1 species